UUCUCAUGAAUAUUUAAUAAUAUUUAAGGAAUAUUUUUUGUCCCGUGAAUAAGGAAGACUUCCCACCAAAUUUUUUUACCCUCCCUCCAAAUUGUACACUAUUAAAAUUACACUUAAAAAUAAAUAUCUAUAAAUAAAUAGAAAAACCUAAUUCACAUUACGCAUUAACCUCAAACACAGAACAAACACCGAAGAAGAGGGGAGAGACAAAUCAGAGGGGAGCAGCGACGAAGAAGAGGGGAGCGGCCACCAGCGAUAUUUCUUUUCCCUCUUUCAAUCAAACCUGACGUUUCUCUCCAUGAGCCUCUUUCAGUUGGCCAUCGAUCGAAGCAAGCGGCAAGCCCUAAGCCCUAAAUGAUAACGCAUGGCUCAGAGACGAAAUCUGAAGAUUGUGUUUGAAUUUCUCUAACCUCUCUCGCCCUUUGUCUGAUCGGAAGGGAAUGUCUUGUUGGUGUUUGCUGGUUCAAUAAGUGAGAAUCUGAAGGAGGAGGAAACCCAGCUCUCUCUCUCCUCUCCUGCUACUUUGUUAGAUUUUGUACCGUGGAUUUUGUAGCUACUUCCUUGGAUUUUGUAUAGUGAGGUGGUUUUUUGACAAGUGCAGACUGAAACUCAAGUGCUAGAAGGUUAUGAAUUUUUCAACAGAAGUGUUCAGAAAUUGAUGAUUUUCUUGACAAAUGGAUUUACUUCUUGUUUUGGAAUAUUGAUAAAUGUUGAAUUAUUUUGGCACAUUGAUAAAUGAUGAAUUGUAAAAAUGUUUUAACUCUUUUGAUAUAUUUAAUGUGAUAUGAAUGUUUUUUGAAUUGAAUUAUAGCUGAAA